AUUAAUAUUAGAAAGUAUAUUUUUAGUUAAAUAACACAAUAUUAAUAAAUUGUCAUUACUUAAAAAUAUUUUUUUUCCUGCUAAAUAAAUUUCAAAAUUAGUAUUCAAGCAAAAAAUUCAAUAUAGAGAAGCAAAAGAAAAGGUGAAAAAAAUAUUUUUUUUGUUCACAGAUAGAAUAAUAUAUGACGAAAAUUAUAUUAUUGAGAAUAUAUAAUUAUAAAGUGUUCGAGGUUCACGUCCGAAGUAAAAUACUAUCAUUAGUUGAAGCUUAAUAAUUUUAUUCCACAAACUAUUAAGAUAAUAAAAUAAUUUGGAAGAAAAAAUAAGUGAGUUCGGUUUAGAGUGUGGUGCUUAUACAAACUAAUACGAUCAUUCAACGUGGAGCCCUCACUCAACAAAAAAACCAGUUCAAAGAUGAAAACUAUGAAUCAAUUGGUCUGGUUCUGUCCAAUUAAGCAGACCAGUUCAAGCCAAAAAAAAAAAGGGCACUGGUUUGGCUCAAGCAAAAAAAAACAGGAAACUUGAGCUAGUUUAGGGUAGAGGCCUGACUCAACUAUAAUCGGUUUGGUUCAAACAAUUAAAAAGAAAAUGCGGUUCAAAAAUAAAAACGUAUAAAGCAAUUGGUCUGUUUCAGCCCAAUGAAGUAAUUUAACUCAGUUUGGUUUAAGUAAAAACAGAGGGAAACCAUGUUUGGUUCAAGCAAAGAAAGAUGAAAUUAUUGGGAGGACUUGAGCCGGUUCAGGUUGGCACUCAUACUAGACAAUCCGGUUCUGUUCAAGUAAAGGAAAAGAAAGCGGUGGAGCUCACAACCAACAACAUUGAAGAGAAUGUUGCCAUGUGGCAAGAUUUUAGAGAAAUAAUAAAUAGUAAUAGAUAAUAGAUAAUAGAUUACAAACAUCAUAUGGAAAGUAGGUUUUUUUUUUUUAUUAAUGGUUUUACAUUCUCGUUCUUACGCCAAAAAAGAAUGGCCAAUUGGGAUGCAAAUAGUGUGGAUCCGAAAGGUGGGACGGGUCCCUUACAAUUCACCUCUUUUUUUUCUUUGCAGGAUUAGAAUAGAUUUGAAACAAGUUGAU
rnacentral:lncRNA from 1 species